rnacentral:rRNA from 1 species
CGACCGGCGCACGGGUGAGUAACGCGUAUGUAAUCUACCUGUAACAGAGGGAUAACCCGGAGAAAUCCGGACUAAUACCUCAUAGCACAUAUUAUUCGCAUGAAUUUUAUGUUAAAGAGACUCGGUUACAGAUGAACAUGCGUUCCAUUAGCUAGUUGGCGGGGUUACGGCCCACCAAGGCAACGAUGGAUAGGGGUUCUGAGAGGAAGGUCCCCCACACUGGUACUGAGACACGGUCCAA